AAAAAAAACCCCAGGUGUGCAGCUGAUGGUAACGAGCUGCUGCGAUUCUACUGUACGAGUCUAACGUGCUCGUUGGGCGCUCGCGGCUCGUCGAACUUGUGCGGCUCGAUCCCAGGUUGCGGCGUGUGCACCAUCAUCAGGCACGGGUUUCAAGGCAAGGAGUGCAAAGGGGUACGCACCACGGCGAGUAGCGGCAGGGCCCACGACUCCCUCAUUGGUUGUGCGGAUGGACGGAGGGCCAUGCUGGUGUGCCGCGUGAUUGCUGGGAGAGUGAAGCGCGUGGAGGAUGAUACGGCGCCGCCAGAGGAGGAUGCCGCGUCAACUGGUGGCUCAUACGAUUCUGUAGCCGGGUACGCCGGAAUUUACUCCAAUCUCGAGGAGUUGUUUGUUUUCAAUCCAAAGGCUAUCCUUCCUUGUUUCGUUGUCAUUUACAGUGCUCUCGAGUCUUGAUUACUAUAGUUUGUACCAGUAGCCAUCAAUAUCAAUGGCUAGCGCACGGCACGACCGUGCUCAGUGCUCACCUCACCUAUCAGUGUGCAUAUAAUAAAGUUCAAUUUGGUUUUACGGGGU
rnacentral:misc_RNA from 1 species